GAUGAACGCUGGCGGCGUGCCUAAUACAUGCAAGUCGAGCGAACAGACGAGGAGCUUGCUCCUCUGACGUUAGCGGCGGACGGGUGAGUAACACGUGGAUAACCUACCUAUAAGACUGGGAUAACUUCGGGAAACCGGAGCUAAUACCGGAUAAUAUAUUGAACCGCAUGGUUCAAUAGUGAAAGACGGUUUUGCUGUCACUUAUAGAUGGAUCCGCGCCGCAUUAGCUAGUUGGUAAGGUAACGGCUUACCAAGGCAACGAUGCGUAGCCGACCUGAGAGGGGGAUCGGCCACACGGGAACUGAACAACGGUCCAGACUCCUACGGGAGGCAGCAGUAGGGAACUUUCCGCAAGGGGCGAAAGCCUGACGGGGCAACGCCGCGGGAGGGAUGAAGGCCUCCGGAUCGUAAAACUCUGUUAUUGGGGAAGAACAAAUGUGUAAGUAACAAUGCCCGUCUGGACGGAACCAAAUCAGAAAGCACGGCUAACUACGUG
rnacentral:rRNA from 1 species